AUUGAACGCUGGCGGCAGGCUUAACACAUGCAAGUCGAGCGGGGUGAUGGUGCUUGCACUAUCACUUAGCGGCGGACGGGUGAGUAAUGCUUAGGAAUCUGCCUAUUAGUGGGGGACAACAUCUCGAACGGGAUGCUAAUACCGCAUACGUCCUACGGGAGAAAGCAGGGGAUCACUUGUGACCUUGCGCUAAUAGCUGAGCCUAAGUCGGAUUAGCUAGUGGGUGGGGUAAAGGCCUACCAAGGCGACGAUCUGUAGCGGGUCUGAGAGGAUGAUCCGCCACACUGGGACUGAGACACGGCCCAGACUCCUACGGGAGGCAGCAGUGGGGAAUAUUGGACAAUGGGGGGAACCUUGAUCCAGCCAUGCCGCGUGUGUGAAGAAGGCCUUAUGGUUGUAAAGCACUUUAAGCGAGGAGGAGGCUCUUUUGGUUAAUACCCAAGAUGAGUGGACGUUACUCGCAGAAUAAGCACCGGCUAACCCUGUGCCAGCCGCCGCCGUAA
rnacentral:rRNA from 1 species